rnacentral:tRNA from 1 species
UCCGGGAUAGCUCAGUGGUAGAGCGAUCGGCUGUUAACCGAUUGGUCCCUGGUUCGAGUCCAGGUCCCGGAG